AGUGAACGCUGGCGGUAGGCCUAACACAUGCAAGUCGAACGGCAGCACAGUAAGAGCUUGCUCUUACGGGUGGCGAGUGGCGGACGGGUGAGGAAUACAUCGGAAUCUACUUUUUCGUGGGGGAUAACGUAGGGAAACGUACGCUAAUACCGCAUACGACCUACGGGUGAAAGCAGGGGAUCUUCGGACCUUGCGCGAUUGAAUGAGCCGAUGUCGGAUUAGCUAGUUGGCGGGGUAAAGGCCCACCAAGGCGACGAUCCGUAGCUGGUCUGAGAGGAUGAUCAGCCACACUGGAACUGAGACACGGUCCAGACUCCUACGGGAGGCAGCAGUGGGGAAUAUUGGACAAUGGGCGCAAGCCUGAUCCAGCCAUACCGCGUGGGUGAAGAAGGCCUUCGGGUUGUAAAGCCCUUUUGUUGGGAAAGAAAAGCAGCAGGUUAAUACCCCGCUGUUCUGACGGUACCCAAAGAAUAAGCACCGGCUAACUUCGUG
rnacentral:rRNA from 1 species